UACGAAGGGGGCUAGCGUUGCUCGGAAUCACUGGGCGUAAAGGGUGCGUAGGCGGGUCUUUUAAGUCAGGGGUGAAAUCCUGGAGCUCAACUCCAGAACUGCCUUUGAUACUGGGGAUCUCGAGUUCGGGAGAGGUGAGUGGAACUGCGAGUGUAGAGGUGAAAUUCGUAGAUAUUCGCAAGAACACCAGUGGCGAAGACGGCUCACUGGCCCGAUACUGACGCUGAGGUGCGAAAGCGUGGGGAGCAAACAGG
rnacentral:rRNA from 1 species